rnacentral:rRNA from 1 species
GAGUUUGAUCAUGGCUCAGGAUGAACGCUGGCGGCGUGCUUAAUACAUGCAAGUCGAACGGAGAGUUUUGUAGUAAUACGAAGCUUCUCAGUGGCGAACGGGCGAGUAACGAGUUGGUGACCUGCCCCGAAGUGUGGGAUAACAGUCCGAAAGGAUUGCUAAUACCGCAUGUGAUCGUCGGUUUUAGAAUCCGAUGAUUAAAGCUGUAAUGCGCUUCGGGAGGGACCUGCUUCCCAUCAGCUAGUUAGUGAGGUAAUGGCCCACCAAGGCUACGACGGGUAAGGGACCUGAGAGGGUGGCCCCUCGCAAUGGCACUGAAACACGGGCCAUACACCUACGGGUGGCAGCAGUAGGGAAUAUUGGGCAAUGGGCGAAAGCCUGACCCAGCAACGCCGCGUGCACGAUGAAGGCCUUCGGGUCGUAAA